rnacentral:rRNA from 1 species
CCUACGUGUGGCAGCAGUGAGGACUAUUGGUCAAUGGACGAGCGUCUGAACCAGCCAAGUAGCGUGAAGGAUGACUGCCCUAUGGGUUGUAAACUUCUUUUAUAUGGGAAUCAAAUGGUCCACGUGUGGGAUUUUGUAUGUACCAUAUGAAUAAGGAUCGGCUAACUCCGUGCCAGCAGCCGCGGUAAGACGGAGGAUCAGAGCGUUAUCCGGAUUUAUUGGGUUUAAAGGGAGCGUAGGUGGAUUGUUAAGUCAGUUGUGAAAGUUUGCGGCUCAACCGUAAAAUGGCAGUUGAAACUGGGAGUCUUGAGUACAGUAGAGGUGGGCGGAAUUCGUGGUGUAGCGGGGAAAUGCUUAGAUAUCACGAAGAACUCCGAUUGCGAAGGCAGAUCACUGGACUGCAACUGACACUGAGGCUCGAAAGUGUGGGUAUCAAACAGGAUUAGAUACCCGAGUAGUC